UCUAGUUGUUUUAUUUUUUAAAUUUACCGAUAGCCAGGGGCACACUACAACACUCAGACAUCAUUUACAGAUAGCCAGGGGUACACUCCAACACUCAGACAUUAUUUACAGAUAGCCAGGGGAACACUCCAACACUCAGACAUCAUUUACAGAUAGCCAGGGGAACACUCCAACACUCAGACAUCAUUUACAGAUAGCCAGGGGAACACUCCAACACUCAGACAUCAUUUACAGAUAGCCAGGGGAACACUCCAACACUCAGACAUAAUUUACAGAUAGCCAGGGGAACACUCCAACACUCAGACAUCAUUUACAGAUAGCCAGGGGAACACUCCAACACUCAGACAUCAUUUACAGAUAGCCAGGGGAACACUCCAACACUCAGACAUCAUUUACAGAUAGCCAGGGGCACACUCCAACACUCAGACAUCAUUUACAGAUAGCCAGGGGUACACUCCAACACUCAGACAUUAUUUACAGAUAGCCAGGGGCACACUACAACACUCCAACACUCAGAUAUUAUUUACAGACAGCCAGGGGAACACUCCAACACUCAGACAUCAUUUACAGAUAGCCAGGGGAACACUCCAACACUCAGACAUCAUUUACAGAUUGCCAGGGGAACACUCCAACACUCAGACAUCAUUUACAGAUUGCCAGGGGAACACUCCAACACUCAGACAUCAUUUACAGAUUGCCAGGGGAACACUCCAACACUCAGACAUCAUUUACAGAUAGCCAGGGGUACACUACAACACUCAGACAUCAUUUACAGAUAGCCAGGGGAACACUCCAACACUCAGACAUCAUUUACAGAUAGCCAGGGGAACACUCAAACACUCAGACAUCAUUUACAGAUAGCCAGGGGUACACUCCAACACUCAGACAUUAUUUACAGAUAGCCAGGGGCACACUCCAACACUCAGACAUCAUUUACAGAUUGCCAGGGGAACACUCCAACACUCAGACAUCAUUUACAGAUAGACAGGGGUACACUACAACACUCAGACAUCAUUUAUAGAUAGCCAGGGGAACACUCCAACACACAGACAUCAUUUACAGAUAGCCAGGGGAACACUCAAACACUCAGGGAACACUCCAACACUCAGACAUCAUUACAGAUAGCUAGGGGUACACUCCAACACUCAGACAUCAUUUACAGAUAGCCAGGGGUACACUCCAACACUCAGACAUAAUUUACUAUAGCCAGGGGAACACUCCAACACUCAGACAUCAUUUACUAUAGCCAGGGGCACACUACAACACUCAGACAUAAUUUACAAAUGAGGCCAGUGUUUAGUGAGUCCGCCAGAUCAGAGGUCGUAGGGUUGACCAGGAAUGUUCUCUUGAUAAGUGAGUGAAUAAGACCAUUUUCCUAUCCUGCUAAGCAUUCAAAAUAUAACGAGUACAUUUUUGUGUCAGGGAAAAUGUAAAAAGUACACACAUUUCUUAAGGAAUGUAAGUGAAGUAAAAGUAAAAUGAGUCAAAAAUAUAAAUAGUAAAGUAAAGUACUUAAGUAGUACUUUCAAGUAUUUUUUACUUAAGUACUUUACACCACUGCCUAUGCCUCACCGGUCUGGAGUAUGUGGUGAGUCAUUCACAAUAUAAUUAUAUUCCUAUGCAUUCUGCUUACAACAAAAUAUCUUUCAUGUUUCAGAAUGUUGCAUCGAAGUGGCUAGUAUUGGCGUUUGAUUCGAUCACAAUUGCAACAGUAAAAGGAAAACGUUGAUAGUGUUAAUUAAAAAGGGGAAAACUCAAGAACAGUUGAAUGAAGUUUAAUCUCCUGCUUCUCUUUGUGGACAGAUAUUUCUUCAGCACUCUAUGUGGCAGUCUCGGGAGCUGUGCGGCAGUCUCGUGGGAGCUGUAGCGGCAUCUCAUGGGAGCUGUGCGGCAGUCUCGUGGGAGCUGUAUGGCAGUCUCAUGGGAGCUGUACGGCAGUCUCGUGGGAGCUGUACGGCAGUCUCAUGGGAGCUGUGCGGCAUCUCGUGGGAGCUGUAAGGCAGUCUCGUGGGAGCUGUAAGGCAGUCUCAUGGGAGCUGUGCGGCAGUCUCGUGGGAGCUGUAUUGCAGUCUCAUGGGAGCUGUACGGCAGUCUUGUGGGAGCUGUACGGCAGUCUCGUGGGAGCUGUUUGGCAGUCUCGUGGGAGCUCUAUGGCAGUCUCAUGGAAGCUGUAAGGCAGUCUCGUGGGAGCUUUGCGGCAGUCUCGUGGGAGCUGUGCGGCAGUCUCGUGGAAGCUGUACGGCAGUCUCGUGGGAGCUG
ensembl:lncRNA